ACAAAGACCAAUGAACCUUGAAAAUGAGGUCAAGGUCAGAUGAACCAUGCCAGACAGGCAUGUACAGCUAACAAUGCUUCUAUACAACAUAUAUAGUUGACCCAUUACUUAUAGUUUAAGAAAAAUAGACCAAACACAAAAACUUAACACUGUGCAAUGAACCGUGAAAAUGAGGUCACAGUCAAAUAAAACCUGCGCGACUGACAUAAAGAUCAUAAAAUAUUUCCAUACACC
rnacentral:lncRNA from 1 species